AACAACGAUCGGAGGUUGAACUGUUGAACCCAUUUUAGCGCCACUUCUCCGUACUGUGUGCUGCUACAGCACGUCUUCUUCAGUGAUUCUCGAGACGCCAUUGAAGGAACGACAGCCGGACCGCUGGGAACAUGACGUCUCUUCUUGAGACAUUGUAAUCCAACUUGGUUGUGGACUUGGAUGGGAACAACUUUCUGACCUUAAUGACACCCAGGAAAACGGUGAGAUUCUAAUCCAUUUAAAUGCCAAAAGCAAGCAGUUUUUGUUUUAAAAGAUGUUUAUUUUAUUCGUGUUGGAGAGGGAGAAGCGCCCCAGUGGAGCGAGAGGGGAUGAUCUGCAGCAAAGGGACCACCGGAAAUCAAACCUUGGCCGCUACGAUAACAACAUCUGGCACGUGUGAUUACGACUACCAGCAUGGACCUCAUCACCUUCUUUGUUGUUCUUCUAGUCUACCCCAUGAAUGGAUACAAGUUUUGUCAAGGAUAAACGGUGGUAAGUUGUAGUAAAGUUCAGUGUGUGUGUUCAUUUAACAGAAAGCUUUAGGCUCAUCUAUUUUUGUAAGCACUCUAUCCAUUUCAUGUUCAAACAGUGUAUGCAUGUUACAUAACUUUGUAUUAACAUAUGGCUAAUUUUAUUAUUUAUUUUACAUUUUUGAUAGACUAUACUAUCGACUGGCAUUUUUAUGAAAAUAUUUUAUUCUACUCUUCUUCUUUUUUCAACAUUUUGUACAUUUGUUAUUUUAUUGUUAGAACCACUUUGUAACAGUGUAAGUGAUAUUUAAAGUUAUAUUAUUGUUGUUACUGUUAAUCUUCUCUAUUUUGUCUUUUUUCUGGCUGAGAGAAUCAUGUCAGCCCACAGUGGACAACCGAUUGACUUGUGAAUCUUCAAGCAGUAAUGAUGACAACACCUGCCUUAAGUUCCAGUUUCCUGAACAUCGUGCCAUGUCUGCUUGAGAUUCUGUCCCACCUGUCUUCAGUCUGGACCCAAUGACUCAGACACCAGUCUUGUCAAGGCUAAUUUUAGUGAGGAUCACCUGAUGGUCCACAUACGAGUCUUCAAGCAGAACUUCCUGAACUUUCUGUCCGUGUGAGACUAUACCAUGUUGGGUGCCCUCUUCAGUCAAGUCUGGACUCAGCGACUCAUUGCUCUUGAUGAACUCAGGGCAAGUGGCUAAUCUUUUCAUGUUUAUUCAUGGGUUAUCCUUCAUGUCCACAUGCUGUUUCUUCAAGAUUUCCACAAUGCUUUGUGAGUAUACAGUACAUGUUAUUGGAUCAGUUCAACCUGUUUUUUCACAGAGAAUGUUAGUUUCUUAAGGUUUAUCAACGAUGGUUUGUAUCUUGAUUUACAAAAGGUGUUAUUUGAUAUUUCCUUUGUAAUUUACAAUAAGCGAAUGUUGACUAAAAUCUAUGCCAACUAAUUGUUAUACGUUGUACCAUGUUUUUUGCAAAGGAAUUCUGGUAACCACAGUUGCUGGCAACUUCCUUUGAACUUUGUAA